rnacentral:rRNA from 1 species
UACGGGGGGGGCAAGCGUUGUUCGGAAUUACUGGGCGUAAAGGGCUCGUAGGUGGCCAACUAAGUCAGACGUGAAAUCCCUCGGCUCAACCGGGGAACUGCAUCUGAUACUGGAUGGCUUGAGAUUGGGAGAGGGAUGCGGAAUUCCAGGUGUAGCGGUGAAAUGCGUAGAUAUCUGGAGGAACACCGGUGGCGAAGGCGGCAUCCUGGACCAACACUGACACUGAGGAGCGAAAGCCAGGGGAGCAAACGGG